UGGUUCCGGCAUCGAUGAAGAACGCAGCGAAAUGCGAUAACUAGUGUGAAUUGCAGAAUUCAGUGAAUCAUCGAGUCUUUGAACGCAUAUUGCGCCCGCCGGUAUCCCGGCGGGCACGCCUGUCCGAGCGUCAUUUAUAAGUCAAUCGGGAAGCCGUCGUAGACGCUCCCGGAAUCCUGGGUGUGAUCGCGCAAUAGUGCGACACCUUAAAAGCGCGGAGCUCGACCCGUCUAUCACCGGUACAUAGUGAUCUGGCGAGGUCCUGCGUCGUGAGAGGUGGGCACGUCGGGCUUCCGCCCGCGGUUUCCGCAGGGCAGAGGCCGAUAGACGAUGCCACCGCCGAUCUCUCCCGAUACAAAAGGGGAUAUCGGACGUAGACGGUAACCAGGAGAGGGGACCGAAGGUCCCUCUCUGAAUCGUCACCGUCGCCACGUUAAGCUUGACCUCGGAUCAGGUGGGGACACCCGCUGA
rnacentral:misc_RNA from 1 species